rnacentral:rRNA from 1 species
ACUCCUGCGGGAGGCAGCAGUGGGGAAUUUUGGACAAUGGGCGAAAGCCUGAUCCAGCCAUGCCGCGUGCAGGAUGAAGGCCUUCGGGUUGUAAACUGCUUUUGUACGGAACGAAACGGCCUUUUCUAAUAAAGAGGGCUAAUGACGGUACCGUAAGAAUAAGCACCGGCUAACUACGUGCCAGCAGCCGCGGUAAUACGUAGGGUGCAAGCGUUAAUCGGAAUUACUGGGCGUAAAGCGUGCGCAGGCGGUUAUGUAAGACAGUUGUGAAAUCCCCGGGCUCAACCUGGGAACUGCAUCUGUGACUGCAUAGCUAGAGUACGGUAGAGGGGGAUGGAAUUCCGCGUGUAGCAGUGAAAUGCGUAGAUAUGCGGAGGAACACCGAUGGCGAAGGCAAUCCCCUGGACCUGUACUGACGCUCAUGCACGAAAGCGUGGGGAGCAAACAGGAUUAGAUACCCUAGUAGUCCCA